rnacentral:misc_RNA from 1 species
GAUGAAGAACGUAGCGAAAUGCGAUAAGUAAUGUGAAUUGCAGAAUUCAGUGAAUCAUCGAAUCUUUGAACGCACAUUGCGCCCGCCAGUAUUCUGGCGGGCAUGCCUGUUCGAGCGUCAUUACAACCCUCAGGCCCCCGGGCCUGGCGUUGGGGAUCGGCGGAAGCCCCCUGCGGGCACAACGCCGUCCCCCAAAUACAGUGGCGGUCCCGCCGCAGCUUCCAUUGCGUAGUAGCCAACACCUCGCAACUGGAGAGCGGCGCGGCCACGCCGUAAAACACCCAACUUCUGAAUGUUGACCUCGAAUCAGGUAGGAAUACCCGCUGAACUUAAGCAUAUCAAUAAGCGGAGGA